AACAGGGGUGCCUUCGGGCUGAGAUGAACAAGCUUCGCGCGUUCAAACCCUCGAACCUGAAAUGGAUCAUACCAGCGUAGGGAGUUUUU
rnacentral:ncRNA from 1 species